AAACUAAGCGCCAGGGCUAAGUGGACGAGUUAUAAGUUUUUAUAAACACACGGACACGUAGUUGACGAGGAUGGGGAGUAUCGAGGUUUCGGCGGAUGCCCCACGGUAUCGCACUACCGUUAACGAUUGAUAAAAGCAGAAAGUGAUUUUUGUUACAAAGCAAU
rnacentral:ncRNA from 1 species